GCCUGAAACUUCUUUAUGUCACUCAUCUGAAUUCUUACCCUUGAGAGGACAAGGACCAAGAAAAUCACUGUUCCAUCAGCAACAUCUCCAUUCCCCGACAGAGCCGAGAAACAUCCUGGAACGUCUCAAGCUCAAGUCCUCGAGACACGGUAGGAGCAACACCACGCCCGCUAGGAGCCGAGGUGUGUUUCGCUGCAGGAACUCGCCCUGCUCUCAGCGUCUCCAGCCUGAGCCCGCCUGGACAGUGACGGAAUACGCGGCGGCGCUGUGCCGUCCCAAACGAGGCCCUCCUAGGACAGCCAGCGCUGACGCUUCAUCGAGGCCGGAAGCGCCUUCCGGAUGGGACAAAUCCACACUGCCAGCUGUAAAACUAAGGGAUGAAUGAAUGAUGAGUUGCAAGCCCUUGAUGAGGAGGCACCACUGAUUGAAGACUCCAUUAUUCAUUUCUUGCACAUCUUACUCCAUAGCCUAAUGGAUGGUAAGUUUCUUCUGAAACCGACUCUAAGAUAAUGCAUGGUAUUCUGGACAUUAAAAUGUGAAAAGAUAAUGUGACUGAGAAAUAAGGGGAAAGGCCUCAUUGUUUUCCGCAUUUCUCAUACUUUCUGCCUCUUGUCCCUGGCUAGAACAAUUCCCUCUGCUUUCUACUGCUGCAGGACUACAUAACCAAAUCCCAUCUACCUAAAAAUCUAUCCAAAUAGAAAAGAAAUCCUUGAGCAUCUUUCUCUUCACUGAGCUACUUGAACUCCCCAAGAAAAUGACUAGAACCACUCAUCGGCACUUGUCACUCCCCACUUGAUACUGACAACUCUUUCUUUAAUAUUAGAUUGUCUGCAGGUUGAGGACAAUUCAGGAUUUAUUGACUAUUUCACAUUCUCUUUUUGCCAUGCCAGUGCGACAUUCUAAAUACAAUGUCUAUAAGAUACUAUGCAACACAUAUUUGUUAAGCAAAUUACUCAGUGACAAACACACGUUUAAUAAACCUCGGAUUUCUAACACUUCAUUUUCAUUCUAUCACUAAUUAACCAUGUGAUCUGAGACAAUUUACUUAACCUCCUAGGGCUGAGGUCUCAAAUGAUACAAUAGAUGAGAUAAUGGGUGUGUGAAUACUCCAUAGAAAUCAUAAGAUCAGUUCACGGUACUGGCAUUGUUUUCUUUUCUGAGAAAGGAGACGAUGGAAUCUGAUCUAUUUCAAAAACAGUCUGUGAGUACCAUUCCACAACGAUAGGACUCAAGUUUUUGCUUUUUCCUUGAAAGCACGAGGUGACUUAAGCGAUCAGAGAACCUGCCUCUUACAAAGCUUCUCUGGGUCCCAGAUGCACCCGUGAAUAACCCUGCUGUGAUCAUUCCAGACAGCUUUGCACCCUGUGGCCAGGUCAAAUAAGACCAGAAGUAUUAUGAACCGACACUUACCAGGCCUCUCUCUCAUACUCUGAGGUCAAAGGAGCCAUUCUUGGGACUUCCCUGGCAGCUCAGUUGUUGAGACUCACUCUCCAGUGCAGAGAGUGCGGGUUCAGGCCCUGGUUGGGGAACUAAGAUCCUACAUGUCAUGCAGCACAACCAAAAUAAAGACAUUAAAAAAGAACAAAGGAGCCACUCUCACCAAGAAAGAGAGAGGUGUUAUUACAGCGCAUAAAUCACCCACGAGUUUGGUUCAAAACUUUUUUAUUAGCUAAAACUUUUAUUAAUAAAAGUAGAUUAAAAACAUAUUAAGAGUUCAAUAUUUUAAAGAAUCACCCUUAGGAAACAGGCACAUGGUGACUGGUGUUAGCUGUAAUGAUAUA